ensembl:rRNA 5S_rRNA 5S ribosomal RNA
GUCUAUGGCCAUACCACCCUGAAUGUACCUGAUCUCGGAAGCUAAGCAGGGUCGGGCCUGGUGAGUACUUGGAUGGGAGACCUCCUGGGAAAAGUGGGUGCUGUAGGCU